UCAAAGAUGAUACCCGAAGUUUCAAGAUAUUGCUUCGCUACUAAGCUCUACAAUCUCUCUCUCUCAAAGUUUUUUUAUAUAUGUAGAACCAUCCCCUGGGUUCAACUUCAUUCACUUCAUUGCAUUUCUAGAUCUCUUCUCUAUACAAAGACAUGCCUCCAGGUUGGGGACCGCCACCGGGAGGGCCUGGCUGCUGUGAUUUUCUGUUUGGUGGUUUAUGCCGAGCCAUAUCUUCUUGCUUUUACAUAUUGUGCUGCUGCUGCAUCUUUGAGAGCUGCUGUGGACCAUUGUUUGGUGGGCCUCCUGGACCUCCUGGACCUCCUGGCCCAUUCGGUCCCCCCCCUCCAUUUUGAUUUAAUCUGAGAUAUGCUGCUCAUGUGGAUGAUGCCUUUUAUGUGAUUAGUACAUAAUAUAAUAUAAUGUAUAAUAAAAUAAAGGACAAAUUACAAAUACCUCCCUCGAGAUUUAGCUAAAUUAUAAAUACCCCCGAGGUUUUGGAAAUUACAUCCCGCCCCCUGAGAUUUGUAUUUUCAUAACAAUUUGCCCCCUGAAGUUUAUAUUUCAUAAUAAAUUACCCCAUAAUUUGUUAUGCAAAUGUAACAUUCAGGGGGAAUUUAUAAUUUCUCAAACCUCAAUGGGGUAUCUGUAAUUUAGCUAAACCUCGAGGGGGUAUAUGUAAUUUGCCCUAAAAUAAAAUAAAAACAUAGAUUUGUGAUUUGGUGUUAAUUGUGUGUGGCAAAUUCUACAUAUUUCUUCCAGUUUUGUAUGAAUUUUGUAAUGCUAGUUUUCAGCUACUUUUGUCUUAAUUGGGUUGGCAUUAUCUAGUCGAAUUUGGAUAUUCUAAUGUAA